GGACGUAUAGGGGGAUCUGGCUGUGACAUCUGUCUCCCUCUGCUUGCCAGGGUUGAUUCAGCUGGCCUACCUGGCUAAGCACGUGUCCCCUUCCUUCCUCAGUGCCCCACGUGUGUGCCUCCCAAAGCUGCGCGCUGGGUCGACAAGGAUGACUGUCUCGGUAGAGGAGGACCUCUGUCUCCGUCAAGGGUGUAUGAAUAGCUGUGCUCCCCUGCUAGAACCUCCAAACAAGCUUUCAAAAUAAAAAGAAGAAGAGAUUAGAGACAUAGCUCAGUGUUCAACUGCCAAUAUCGCAAGAACAAAGAAGUGAAAAACAAAAGGGCUGGAGAUAUGGC
rfam:Cavia porcellus supercont2_4 genomic scaffold, whole genome shotgun sequence.